UACGGGGGGAGCAAGCGUUGUUCGGAUUUACUGGGCGUAAAGGGCGCGUAGGCGGUCACUACAAGUCAGUUGUGAAAUCUCUGGGCUUAACUCAGAACGGUCAACUGAUACUGUUGGACUAGAGUGCAGAAGGGGCAACUGGAAUUCUCGGUGUAGCGGUGAAAUGCGUAGAUAUCGAGGGGAACACCUGCGGCGAAGGCGGGUUGCUGGGCUGACACUGACGCUGAGGCGCGAAAGCUAGGGGAGCGAACGGG
rnacentral:rRNA from 1 species